GCCGGUGCGAAACCGGCGCUGACCCGCAACCGUGAGCCGCCGUCACCGGCGGCGCAGCCGGAA
rnacentral:ncRNA from 19 species